rnacentral:rRNA from 1 species
UACAGUAUGGAAGGAAACUGGACGACCCUUCGGGAGCUUGUACAGGUGCUGCAUGGCUGUCGUCAGCUCGUGUCGUGAGAUGUUCGGUUAAGUCCGCUAACGAGCGCAACCCUCGCUGUGUGUUACAAGUGUCACACGGAACUGCCGGUCAUAAACCGGAGGAAGGUGGGAUGACGUCAAGUCAGCAUGGCCUUUAUAUCCUGGGCUACACACACGCUACAAUGGGAAGGGACAAUAGGUUGCGAAGCCGCGAGGCGGAGCCAAUCCAGCAAAACUUCCCUCAGUUCAGAUUGCAGGCUGCAACUCGCCUGCAUGAAGUUGGAGUUGCUAGUAAACGCAGGUCAGCCAUACUGCGUUGAAUACGUUCCCGGGCUU